rnacentral:rRNA from 1 species
CAGGUGGUGCAUGGUUGUCGUCAGCUCGUGUCGUGAGAUGUUGGGUUAAGUCCCGCAACGAGCGCAACCCCUAUUGCCAGUUACCAGCGGGUUAUGCCGGGGACUCUGGUGAGACUGCCGGGGACAACUCGGAGGAAGGUGGGGAUGACGUCAAAUCAUCAUGCCCCUUAUGUCUUGGGCUACACACGUGCUACAAUGGCUGAAACAAAGGGAUGCAACAACGUAAGUUGAAGCGGAUCUCACAAAAACAGUCCCAGUUCGGAUUGUGGGCUCGCAACCCGCCCACAUGAAGUCGGAGUUGCUAGUAAUCGCGGAUCAGCAUAGCCGCGGUGAAUACGUUCCCGGGCCGUU